AAAAAUAUGUAUUCUUAAAACUUAUAUUUUAAAUUCUCACUUUGAGUAAAAUAUUCUUGUGUUUUCUCCAGAGUUCUCAGGGGCUGCAGUCUCACACCAUCCAUUGUGGCAACAAUGGGCCAUUUCCAGCAGGGCCGGUGCACCAUUGCCCUGGAUGCCUGACGGCCACCUGCCUCCAGAAAAUCACAGUGUCUGAAAAGUGGAAGAGUGACAAGAGAAGAACCCUCCCAGGCAAGGCUCUGGUCUGCGGGGAGAAGGAAGAAGACAAUCUCCUAAUUGGUACCAUAUACAUCAGGUCCAGUAAUUUUCUUACUUUCUAGCAACACCAACCAAAAAUUCCACCCAAGGAAGAGCCACGUGCAAGAUGGCAUAAAAAUCAGUGAACAGCUCUGAGGUCGCACACCUCCCUGCCUGAUCCCCCA
rnacentral:lncRNA from 1 species